GAUGAACGCUGGCGGCGCGCCUAAUACAUGCAAGUCGAGCGAGAAGACGUAGCAAUACGUUUGUAAAGCGGCGAACGGGUGAGGAAUACAUGGGUAACCUACCCUCGAGUGGGGAAUAACUAGCCGAAAGGUUAGCUAAUACCGCGUACGCUUCUUGGACUUCGGUUCAGGGAGGAAAGCGAUACCGUGGGUAUCGCGCUCUUGGAUGGGCUCAUGUCCUAUCAGCUUGUUGGUGAGGUAACGGCUCACCAAGGCUUCGACGGGUAGCUGGUCUGAGAGGACGAUCAGCCACACUGGCACUGCGACACGGGCCAGACUCCUACGGGAGGCAGCAGUAAGGAAUAUUGCGCAAUGGGCGAAAGCCUGACGCAGCGACGCCGCGUGGGGGA
rnacentral:rRNA from 1 species